rnacentral:rRNA from 1 species
UACGAAGGGGGCUAGCGUUGUUCGGAAUUACUGGGCGUAAAGCGUAUGUAGGCGGAUCGUUAAGUCGGGGGUGAAAUCCCGGGGCUCAACCUCGGAACUGCCUUUGAUACAGCAUAUCUUGAGUCCGAUAGAGGUGGGUGGAAUUCCUAGUGUAGAGGUGAAAUUCGUAGAUAUUAGGAAGAACACCGGUGGCGAAGGCGGCUUCCUGGCCUGUUCUUGACGCUGAGGCGCGAAAGCUAGGGGAGCAAACGGG